AGGAUUAACGCUGGCGGCGUGCCUAACACAUGCAAGUCGAACGAGGUAGCAAUACCUAGUGGCAGACGGGUGAGUAGCGCGUGGUCAACCUACCGUUGAGUGGGGGAUAACUAGUCGAAAGGUUAGCUAAUACCGCAUACGUCUCCGAGGGGCAUCCCUUGGCGAUAAAAGGAGCAAUCCGCUCGAUGACGGGACCGCGUCCCAUUAGCUAGUUGGUGGGGUAACGGCCUACCAAGGCAUCGAUGGGUAGCUGGUUUGAGAGAGCGACCAGCCACACUGGGACUGAGAUACGGCCCAGACUCCUACGGGAGGCAGCAGUGAGGAAUUUUCCGCAAUGGGCGAAAGCCUGACGGAGCGACGCCGCGUGUGGGAAGAAGGCCUUCGGGUCGUAAACCACUGUCGAAGGGGAGAUAAUGACGGUACCCUUGGAGGAAGCCCCGGCUAACUACGUGCCAGCAGCCGC
rnacentral:rRNA from 1 species